rnacentral:lncRNA from 1 species
CUGCCAGUUUUGCUCCUGGUUAGCCCAGGACUUUUUAUAGCAUAGAGUUUUAAAGCAAAGGCUUAGAAUCAGACCUGGGUCAAAAUCCUGCCUUCCACCUUCACCAAGGCAGUGUGACCUUGACUUUCCUACAUAAGAGAUUAAAAUACCCCAAAUUCCAGCGAAACAGCUGAUGCCAGCCAGCUUGAACACCCCUGCCACAGAACAAGGGAAUCAGCCUGAGAAUACAGCUUCUUCAUCUCCCUGUCCCAUGACUUCGCCCUGCACUCUUCAGCCAAUUAAUGAUCUCCACACUUCGGACCACUCCAAAACCCUUAAGAACCUGAGCCUCAAAGUCCUCCUGGAGACGAAUUUGAGGUUUCCUCCUAUCUGUGUUUGGUGGCCCUAUGAUUUAAACCUCUUUCUCUUCUGCAACCUGGUGUCCCAGUGUAUUAACUUGCCAUGGGCAUCAGACAACAAACCUAUAUAUAGUAUCCCAAAUAUAGUGCUCCACUUUGAAA